UACGAAGGGGGCUAGCGUUGUUCGGAAUUACUGGGCGUAAAGCGCGCGCAGGCGGCCAAUCAAGUCAGGGGUGAAAGCCCGGAGCUCAACUCCGGAAUUGCCUUUGAAACUGAUCGGCUUGAGUACGGGAGAGGUGAGUGGAAUUCCCAGUGUAGAGGUGAAAUUCGUAGAUAUUGGGAAGAACACCGGUGGCGAAGGCGGCUCACUGGCCCGUUUCUGACGCUCAGGCGCGACAGCGUGGGGAUCAAAC
rnacentral:rRNA from 1 species